rnacentral:rRNA from 1 species
CAGCAGCCGCGGGAAUACGAAGGGGGCUAGCGUUGUUCGGAAUUACUGGGCGUAAAGCGCACGUAGGCGGAUCGAUCAGUCAGGGGUGAAAUCCCAGGGCUCAACCCUGGAACUGCCUUUGAUACUGUCGAUCUGGAGUAUGGAAGAGGUGAGUGGAAUUCCGAGUGUAGAGGUGAAAUUCGUAGAUAUUCGGAGGAACACCAGUGGCGAAGGCGGCUCACUGGUCCAUUACUGACGCUGAGGUGCGAAAGCGUGGGGAGCAAACAGGAUUAGAUACCCGAGUAGUCCCUGUCUCUUAUAC